AUGGCGUCCCUCCCCAGUGAGGGUUCGCCUCCCCUGUCUAUUAGACAUGGGGCCAGGGUGGUGGCACCCCAGCAGUACACCGUGGAGCAGGUUCUGCUAGCUGUUGGUGAACAGGUGGGCCUUGAGAACAUAACUUAUGGCUCUCGGAUGAACAAGGCUGUGGUUACUUUUCUCCGUGAGGAGCGCUUGGUUCACCUGUUGGUUGAAAGGGGGAUCAUUCUGGAUGAUUUGUUUGUGGCUGUUUCGCCACUGUUUGUGCCAUCUACGCGGGUCACCGUGUCCGGUGUCCCGCUGUUCAUCCCGAAUGAACUACUUGAAAAGGAACUGACCCGCUUUGGAAAGUUUGCUAGCGGGUUCAGGGUUGUUCGUCUUGGCUGCAAAGACGCCAGACUGCAGCACGUUCAGUCACUAAGAAGGCAGGCCUUCAUGUACCUGAACGAUCCUUCGCAGACACUGGAAGUGUCGUUUAAAGUAAGAUAUGAAAACAGCUUAUAUACUGUUUACGCUAGUGCAGGUAGCAUGAAGUGCUUUGUGUGUGGUGAUGUUGGCCAUAAACGCUCAUCCUGCCCUCACAAAGAGCAGGAGGUGUGCCGUGAACAAGACGCUCAUGCUAGGGGGGCAAGUGAGCAGGAGCGCGCUGUAGAUGCCGGUACGGGAGAACAGCCGGCUCGUAGCGGUGCGGACGAGCAGCCGUCUACGAGCGGCGCUGUCAUCGGUGAGCCGCUAGCAGCGCAGGGUGACAGAAUGGAGGUCGCAGCCAGUGCUCCACAUGCUGCGCUAGAAGAACAGGGGAUAGUACAGGGGACCAAUGAGGUGGAGGAUGGAUGUGAUGACAUACAGGAUAGGGAAAGUGUGGAGGAAAGUCAGGACAGUGGACAGACCAAAGCAACGGCAAGUGAGGUGGGUAUUGCGAAUGUAAUUUCAGGUUCUUUGGGCGCAGAAAAUGAGGAAGACGACUUGUUGGAAGAUGAUUCCCUGUCACAAUGCUCUGAUAUUGUUUUACAAGAAGAUCAUCAGCAGUUGUAUUCCUUAGAAGAUAUAAACCGCUUUUUGGAUGAGACAUUUGGUAUGCAGUCUGUGGAAGUCACUGAGUUUUUUCCAGAUGUUGAUCUUUUUAUAAAAUCUGUUCUGAAAAUAAGAAGAGUUGUUGGUUAUGAACAAUUGAGUAAACAGAAAAGAUUCCGUCUUAAAAAGAUCCUGACUAAGUUGAGGAGGGAAAAACGAGGAAAAACUCCUUUAAAAGCAUAG
rnacentral:lncRNA from 1 species